rnacentral:lncRNA from 1 species
AUGGAAAGAGAAUGCAAUUACACAUGCACACAUGCACAUGCUCACACAUGCACUCACAUACAUACUCACACGCACACAUGCACAUGCUCACACACGUACUCACAUACAUACACGCACACAUGCACACGCUCACACAUGUACUCACAUGCACACUCAUGCACAUGCUCACACAUGUACUCACAUGCUCUCACACACACACUCACACAUGCUCACAUGCACACUCAUACCUGCACUCACAUACAUACUCACAUGCACACUCAUGCACACGCUCACACAUGCACUCACAUACAUACUCACAUGCACACUCAUACCUGCACUCACAUACAUACACAAGCACACAUGCACAUGCUCACACAUGCACUCACAUACAUACUCACAUGCACAUGCUCACACAUGUACUCACACACAUGCUCUCACAUGCACACACACAUGCUCACACAUGCACGCUCACACAUGCACUCACAUACAUACUCACAUGCACACGCUCACACAUGCACUCACAUACAUGCACACACUCACAUGUACUCAGACACAUGCUCUCACACACACACAUGCUCACAUGCACACUCAUACCUGCACUCACAUGCACACACAUGCACAUGCUCACACAUGCACUCACAUACAUACUCACAUGCACACGCUCACACAUGCACUCACAUACUCACAUGCACACGCUCACACAUGUACUCACACACAUGCUGUCACACGCACACUCACACACAUGCUCACAUGCACACUCAUACCUGCACUCACAUACAUACAUGCACACUCAUGCACAUGCUCACACAUGUACUCACACACAUGCUCUCACAUGCACACACAUGCUCACACAUGCACACUCAUACCUGCACUCACAUACAUACACAUGCACACAUGCACAUGCUCACACAUGCACUCACAUGCAUACUCACAUGCACACGCUCACACAUGCACUCACAUGCAUACUCACAUGCACACGCUCACACAUGCACUCACAUACAUACUCACAUGCACACACUCACACAUGCACUCACAUACAUACUCACAUGCACACGCUCACACAUGUACUCACACACAUGCUCACACGCACACUCACACACAUGCACACUCAUACCUGCACUCACAUACAUAUGCACACAUGCACAUGCUCACACACUGAUGCACAAGCUCACACACUCAUACAUGCACACUCAUGCACACAUGCUCACACUAACACACAUGCACAGGCUCACAUGCUCACACACACAUGCACACAUGCACACAUGCACAUGGUCAAACAUGAUCACACUCAUGCACGGGCUCACAUGCUCACACACAUGUACACUCAUGCACACACAUGCUCACAUGCACUCAUGCAUAUGUUCACACAUGCUUACUCACAAACACACAUGCACACACAUGCUCACACUCAUACCCAUGGUCACACAUGCACACUCAUAUACAUGGUCACAUGCUCACACAUGGACACACACGCUUACAUAUAUUCACACACUCAUGCACAGGGUCACACAUGCUCCCACUCACACACAUUCAUGCUCACUCACACGCUCACUCACACACACAUGCUCACUCAUGCACACACACAUCCUAAAAAGGGAAUCAAGGGGCAGGAUCCCAGCACUAGUAAGUGGAGCAGAUCAGUGGUGGCGGGCAGGGGUGAGGGGACAGUGCUCUGGAGCUGGGGUUCUUCAUAGAGGAAUCACAGAAACUCAGGGCUGA